AUUCAUGGCGCGCGGGAGUCUAGCUUACGUUUCGUUCAUUUCUUUUUUAGCGUGGACUGUGCUUUUUCACAUGAAAUCAUUAAUUAACGGUUUUGUUUUGGAUAUUUUUUUAGCAAGAUAUGGUGAUUUAAUUGCUAUACUUUAUGUUAGAUUCAUUUGUUGACGGUUAUAUAUUUUGAAUCAGGUAGUAAGGUUUUGUUUGAUUUUUUUACACAUGGUUAAAGAGGAGGCAUAUUUUUUUUAUAAAAAAAAUUUUAGUUGAGUUGGAUUUCUGAGGUUCACCAGAGUUAUGACAGACUUUAAGAUUUU
rnacentral:lncRNA from 1 species